rnacentral:rRNA from 1 species
AACGAACGCUGGCGGCAGGCUUAACACAUGCAAGUCGAACGCCCCGCAAGGGGAGUGGCAGACGGGUGAGUAACGCGUGGGAAUCUACCUAGUUCUACGGAACAACAGUUGGAAACGACUGCUAAUACCGUAUACGCCCUAUGGGGGAAAGAUUUAUCGGAAUUAGAUGAGCCCGCGUAAGAUUAGCUAGUUGGUGAGGUAACGGCUCACCAAGGCGACGAUCUUUAGCUGGUCUGAGAGGAUGAUCAGCCACACUGGGACUGAGACACGGCCCAGACUCCUACGGGAGGCAGCAGUGGGGAAUAUUGGACAAUGGGCGCAAGCCUGAUCCAGCCAUGCCGCGUGAGUGAUGAAGGCCUUAGGGUUGUAAAGCUCUUUCAGUAGGGAAGAUAAUGACGGUACCUACAGAAGAAGCCCCGGCUAACUUCGUGCCAGCAGCCGCCGUAACAC